rnacentral:rRNA from 1 species
AAUGAACGCUGGCGGCGCGCUUAACACAUGCAAGUCGAGCGAGAACCAGCCCUUCGGGGCUGGGGACAGCGGCGAACGGGUGAGUAACACGUGGGUAAUCUGCCCUCGGCACCGGAAUAGCCCGGGGAAACCCGGAUUAAUGCCGGAUGGCCUCUCGAGCUCUCGAGCUCGUGAGAAAAGGUAGCUUCGGCCUCCGGCCGAGGAUGAGCCCGCGGUCGAUUAGCUUGUUGGUGAGGUAANGGCUCACCAAGGCGACGAUCGAUAGCUGGUCUGAGAGGACGAUCAGCCACACUGGGACUGAGACACGGCCCAGACUCCUACGGGAGGCAGCAGUGGGGAAUCUUGCGCAAUGGGCGCAAGCCUGAUCCAGCCAUGCCGCGUGCGGGAAGAA